GUGCUCGUUACAAUCUGCAAUAUAUUAUUUCUUCCGAAGUAUUGACAAUGUGUGAGACUCCAGUAACCCCGGAGCUCUCGUCUGUAAUCAGCACAUUUAUCCACAUUUAAGGGGGAAAAUCCGAAUUAAAUCCCCGUGACCCUGAUUGGGUUACAGUGUCAUUUUCCCUGGAUCCUCUUUUAAAUCCACUCCACACUGCUUCUCUGUCUAUUACAUGCUAAUUUAAUUUUACUGUGGAAGAUAUUUUCAGGAUUUGCUGAGGACAGUAAAUUUUGUAGUUUAUGUUAUUUCACUUUUUAUGACUUUUUAACACUUAAUAAAAUUUUAUUAGAGCACUUUUGUGUUUACAAGGCCACAAAACUCUUGGCAGGUUGUCAGAAGUCCUUUUUAUUAUGAUCCUACUGAUAUACUGCGAGUAAUGAAAUAAUCAUGUCCAGAAAUGUAUCAAAGGCCAGAGGGAUUAUCCCACUUAAUAGCUCCACAGAUGCGCCCAGAAGAAUGUGGACGCGCGACAGGACGGGCUGAAAGGCUGCAGGAGGAAGCAGGCAGCCCCGGCUCCUGGCUUUACCAUUUCGGUUGCUUUCCUAAAA
rnacentral:lncRNA from 1 species